rnacentral:rRNA from 1 species
AGUGAACGCUGGCGGUAGGCCUAACACAUGCAAGUCGAACGGCAGCACAGUAAGAGCUUGCUCUUACGGGUGGCGAGUGGCGGACGGGUUAGGAAUACAUCGGAAUCUACUUUUUCGUGGGGGAUAACGUAGGGAAACUUACGCUAAUACCGCAUACGACCUACGGGUGAAAGCAGGGGAUCUUCGGACCUUGCGCGAUUGAAUGAGCCGAUGUCGGAUUAGCUAGUUGGUGGGGUAAAGGCCCACCAAGGCGACGAUCCGUAGCUGGUCUGAGAGGAUGAUCAGCCACACUGGAACUGAGACACGGUCCAGACUCCUACGGGAGGCAGCAGUGGGGAAUAUUGGACAAUGGGCGCAAGCCUGAUCCAGCCAUACCGCGUGGGUGAAGAAGGCCUUCGGGUUGUAAAGCCCUUUUGUUGGGAAAGAAAAGCAGCAGGUUAAUACCCCGCUGUUCUGACGGUACCCAAAGAGUAAGCACCGGCUAACUUCGUG